AAACUUCUACUUUUGUGGAACACAGAUAAAUUCCGACAAAGGAUGUGAGGCAGCUUUGAACGGAGGGUGGGUGUGCAUGUUGCGUCUGUUACCAACUCCUUUCUGAUACAAGUCUCAGUUUCAUUGUCUCUUCCUUUCUCUUAAUUUGUUCUUCUGAGCUGUAAAAGGUUUGAAGGUCUGUGCGUUUUGUUAAUUAGUCAGAGAUGAGUGACCCUAAGUAUGCGUACCCCUACCCUGCUCAAGGUUAUUAUCAAGGACCCCCAGUGAUGGCACCUCCACAGUAUGCUGCACCACCACCCAGGAGGGAACCAGGUUUCCUUGAGGGAUGUUUAGCAGCUCUGUGUUGCUGUUGCCUCCUUGACGAGUGUUGCUGCGACCCAUCCAUCAUCUUUAUCAGCUGAUGAUCAUCAUGCAUCCUGUAAUUUCAUGCACUAAUAUCAUUUCCCCACUUAUAAAUAGUAAUAGGUAGUGUCACCUCUUGCCGCUUGAUGGUGUUCUUCUGUGAUCAUGUAAUGUUUCAAACUUAUAAAUAGUUGGUGUGUCCGGAUCAUCUCUAUCUUUUGUGCUGUAGUUCUCUGUACAUUAUUCAUCAUUUUUCUCUCUUCUUUUGGUUUGGUUUGC